rnacentral:rRNA from 1 species
GCCUGCCCGGUGACCCAGUGUUCAACGGCCGCGGUAUCCUAACCGUGCAAAGGUAGCGCAAUCAAUUGCCUCGUAAAUUGAGGCCUGUAUGAAUGGCUAAACGAGGUCUUAACUGUCUCUUACAGGCAAUCGGUGAAAUUGAUCUCCCUGUGCAAAAGCAGGGAUAAACCCAUAAGACGAGAAGACCCUGUGGAACUUCAAAAUCAGCGGCCACCCUAUAUCACAUUCACCCCCAUUGGGCCUACGAACCUACAUAGGAGCUGGCCCGCAUUUUUCGGUUGGGGCGACCUUGGAGAAAAACAGAUCCUCCAAAAAUUAGACCACCCAUCUAGACUAAGAGCGACCACUCAAAGUGCUAAUAGCACCCAGACCCAAUAUAAUUGAUCAAUGGACCAAGCUACCCCAGGGAUAACAGCGCAAUCUCCUCCAAGAGUCCGUAUCGACGGGGAGGUUUACGACCUCGAUGUUGGAUCAGGACAUCCUAGUGGUGCAGCCGCUACUAAGGGUUCGUUUGUUCAACGAUUAA